UAUAGUAAACUCCGAAAACCCUAGAUUCACUAGAAGACAAGAGACUUGAGGCGGUUUAGAUGAAUGCUCAUCUUGGGGAUCGAGUAAAGAGGGUGCUGCAAAGUUUGCGCCUUUGCUUCCAUGAUCCGAGUGAUCAAUUGGUCGAGUAGUUGCUUCUUCCUCUCCUAUUCUUAUGCUCAGAUGUCUUGUUGAGUGGGGAAUGAGAAGGAUCAGAAGACGCUUUGAACGAUCAACAAGUCUUGUAGCGAAGGUU
rnacentral:sRNA from 1 species